rnacentral:rRNA from 1 species
AGAGUUUGAUCAUGGCUCAGGAUGAACGCUAGCGGCAGGCUUAACACAUGCAAGUCGGGCGGCAGCGGGGUGGGAGCUUGCUCCCACUGCCGGCGAGCGGCGCACGGGUGAGUAACACGUAUGCAACCUGCCCCUGUCAGGGGGACAACCCGCCGAAAGGCGGGCUAAGCCCGCGUAUAUCGCCCCGGGGCAUCCCGGGGGGAGGAAAGGAGCGAUCCGGACAGGGAUGGGCAUGCGGCGCAUUAGCUGGUCGGCGGGGUAACGGCCCACCGAGGCGACGAUGCGUAGGGGUUCUGAGAGGAAGGCCCCCCACACUGGUACUGAGACACGGACCAGACUCCUACGGGAGGCAGCAGUGAGGAAUAUUGGUCAAUGGGCGGGAGCCUGAACCAGCCAAGCCGCGUGAGGGAAGAAGGUACAGCGUAUCGUAAACCUCUUUUGUCAGGGAACAAAGGCGGGGACUAGUCCCCGGAUGAGGGUACCUGAAGAAAAAGCAUCGGCUAACUCCGUGCCAGCAGCCGCGGUAAUACGGAGGAUGCGAGCGUUAUCCGGAUUUAUUGGGUUUAAAGGGUGCGCAGGCGGCCUGUUAAGUCAGCGGUAAAAGCCCGGGGCUCAACCCCGGCGAGCCGUUGAAACUGGCGGGCUGGAGUUGGAGAGAAGUACGCGGAAUGCGCGGUGUAGCGGUGAAAUGCUUAGAUAUCGCGCAG